rnacentral:rRNA from 1 species
GAUGAACGCUGGCGGCGUGCUUAACACAUGCAAGUCGAACGGAAAGGCCCUACUUUUGCGUGGUGCUUGUGUGGCGAACGGGUGAGUAACACGUGAGUAUCCCGUCCCUGUCUUUGGGAUAACUUUACGAAACUGGGGCUAAUAUCGGAUAGGAUCUCCUGCUGCAUGGGGGGGGUUGGAAAGUUUCGGCGGUUGGGGCUGGUCUCGCUGCUUACCAGCUUGUUGGUGGGGUAGGUGCUGACCAAGGCUUCGACGGCUAGCCGGCAUUGGAGGGUGGACGGGGUCAUUGGGACUGAGAUACGGCGCAGUAGCGUACGGGAGGCAACAGUGGGGAGUAUUACACAAUGAGCGGAAGCCAGAGGUGGAGGCGCCGCGUGCGGAAUAACGGCCUUCGAGUUAUGAACCGAUUUCGAAUGUGACGAGGCGAGAGUGACGGUAAUGAGUCAAGAAGCCCCGGCUAACUACGUG